AGAGUGAACGCUGGCGGUAGGCCUAACACAUGCAAGUCGAACGGCAGCACGGUAAGAGCUUGCUCUUAUGGGUGGCGAGUGGCGGACGGGUGAGGAAUACAUCGGAAUCUACCUUUUGGUGGGGGAUAACGUAGGGAAACUUACGCUAAUACCGCAUACGCCCUUCGGGGGAAAGCCGGGGACCAGCAAUGGCCUGGCGCUGAUAGAUGAGCCGAUGUCGGAUUAGCUAGUUGGUGAGGUAAUGGCUCACCAAGGCGACGAUCCGUAGCUGGUCUGAGAGGAUGAUCAGCCACACUGGAACUGAAGACACGGUCCAGACUCCGUACGGGAGCAGCAGUGGGGAAUA
rnacentral:rRNA from 1 species